GUCCCUGAAGUGCUAUGGAUAGCGCGUUGGACUUUUAAUCCAAGGGUCGUGGAUUUGAAUCCCACCAGGGAUG